GACGAACGCUGGCGGCGUGCUUAACACAUGCAAGUCGAACGAUGAUGCCCAGCUUGCUGGGCGGAUUAGUGGCGAACGGGUGAGUAACACGUGAGUAACCUGCCCUUGACUUCGGGAUAACUCCGGGAAACCGGGGCUAAUACCGGAUAUGAGCCGUCCUCGCAUGGGGGUGGUUGGAAAGUUUUUCGGUCAGGGAUGGGCUCGCGGCCUAUCAGCUUGUUGGUGGGGUGAUGGCCUACCAAGGCGACGACGGGUAGCCGGCCUGAGAGGGCGACCGGCCACACUGGGACUGAGACACGGCCCAGACUCCUACGGGAGGCAGCAGUGGGGAAUAUUGCACAAUGGGCGAAAGCCUGAUGCAGCGACGCCGCGUGAGGGAUGAAGGCCUUCGGGUUGUAAACCUCUUUCAGCAGGGAAGAAGCGCAAGUGACGGUACCUGCAGAAGAAGCGCCGGCUAACUACGUGCCAGCAGCCGCGGUAAUACGUAGGGCGCAAGCGUUGUCCGGAAUUAUUGGGCGUAAAGAGCUCGUAGGCGGUUUGUCGCGUCUGGUGUGAAAACUCGAGGCUCAACCUCGAGCUUGCAUCGGGUACGGGCAGACUAGAGUGCGGUAGGGGAGACUGGAAUUCCUGGUGUAGCGGUGGAAUGCGCAGAUAUCAGGAGGAACACCGAUGGCGAAGGCAGGUCUCUGGGCCGCAACUGACGCUGAGGAGCGAAAGCAUGGGGAGCGAACAGG
rnacentral:rRNA from 1 species